UCAUCAAUAGUAGUAGUGACCAUUAAAGGGGGAGUGUGGGGAGCUCGUUCAAACUUACGCUCGAAGAGAAAUACCCAGUCUUCUGAGAUACCUGGUAAGGAAACACUGGGCACGCAAAGCUGAAGGCUAAAAAGUCAACUCCACUUUCAGGGGCUACCAAGCUGGGCCAUAUCACAGAGAAAUGCUCCUCAACAGUAGAGAUUGACUCUCCAUACAACUGCAAUAUUUGUAAUCAAGAGGACACAGAUAAUUGUGGUGUUUUUUUUUAAAAUGUGUGUCAGUUACGACAUACUGUGACCCGUCGUUCUUACUGGUGAAGCUUCCCUAAAGCAUGCCAGGUCUCCAGAAAGGGUCAGUGUGAGGUACAAGAGGCCAACGGCUCCUUUGACCAUAAGAAGUCCCAGAAAGGCUUUGAAGUGGCCUGAAUCAUGCAACAUUCUGUCACGUGAUGAUGGCCAGGGACAACCGCAAUUAAGAACCUAGAGUAGACAGGAAGUGCAUGGCUUUGGUUUUAACUCACCUUCACGGUGUGUAUCAGAAGAGGUGUCUACUGAAUGCUGCAUAGAUUGAAUACACUUGAGCUGAGCAGAUCCCAGCGUGGGACCUUCACCUCCUACUUCUCACUGGCAACAAUGGAGAAUUGCUCCCAUGACUCGACAUCUCUCGGUACGGGAUCUCUCGCAGCUUUUCUGAAACAGGUUUGGUGGCAAAGACCUUCUUCCCCGCUACCACCUCCUCAGACUCCCUCGACUGUGGAUUCAGUCCUCCAGCACUGGGCUCCUCUUCUGGGUGAUCCUCCCAACUACCCUGAAGAGCAACUUCCUCAUUUUGGAGGUCUGACGGAAAGGAGGAACUUGAAGCAAACUGAUGAAAUUAUCUAGUCACCACAAAUUGGCAGAAUCAAGGCCCAAACCCAAGACCUCUGAUUCUGAGUUCACUUGUAUUUUCCAUUACAUCAGAAAUGAUAACCAAGGCUUACAACGAGCAGAAUGUUAUUCUGUCCAAAGUGAUUCAAGACAGAAAAAGUUUGUUUAAAAAGGCAACUGCGUUUUAUUUCAUUAUUCAAGAUAACUGAAGUAGUUGACCAUUACAGGGCUGUUUUCUUCAAGCAUUCCACCCUUAGCACCUUGUUGCUUAAAUGUCUUUUAAAACAUUGCUAUUCAGUUGAGAAACAGCCAGACAAGCAAGAGAGACUGAAUUAUAUAAAUCUCCAUUCUCAGCUGUAUCUUAGAUUUUAUCUUCAAUACUCCUCUUCAGCCAAUCACUAAUUACGUAAAUUGUAAAUGUGAAGGUUAGUUGUUCCUUGGUGGCAAUACCACCACCAGAGUGAAAUACCAGUGAAAAUAUAAAUUGAAAGAGUAUAUAUGAAAUAUGUACCCAUUUUAAAGGUGAUCUUCUGAAAGAUGUAAUAACAAACCAGACUCUCAGACAUCUCUCCCUUUUGUGAUUUUGGCUCUUACAAAACUUAGAAACAAAUCAAUUAAAUAUUCUAAGAUAAGGCAGUUUUCUAGGGUUACUUUAAUUACAGAAGUUUAUAAGGGUGUGCUGGAAAUAGGGGGAAGCAGCACAGAGAAUUAAGUAACAUUUUGGUGAAUGAAAGUCACAGCCGAUAUUAUAUAGCUAUUACUGGAAAUUUUACUUCAAAUUUAGUUUAGCUUGACUUUACUAAUAUAUUUGAUUUUAUACUUAGGUUAAAUUUAAGCACCUAGAUACUGGAAUGAUAAAAGACAAGAAAACAGCUGCUUAGUUAAAAAGUAGUUAAACUUUUAGAGGACAUUUUGUCAGUGGUUGUUGCUUUAGAAUUUAGAAAUUGAAUUUAACUUUGCAUCGUGCUUCCUUUAUACAUAUAACUUGGAGCAGAAAAUUCCCCCUUUAACAACUUCAGAACAAAGCAAGAAACCACAGUGGUUUGCAGGCCACUAAUUCUGUUACAGAUGAAAGCAUUCAAUUAUCUCUAUAAAAUUCAAUUCCUUAGAAAAUGUGUUUGUGAUUGACUAAGUACAUUUUUAAAAUGUGGUAAUACCACAUGCUAUUAUUCACAAUCUUGAUUUAAAAGUUGGAAUGAAGUAGCUUGUGGUUCUUGCGUAAAAGACUCUAUUUUUUUCAAUGUAAAAAUAUUUUCAAUACAUUAUCUUACAGAAAAACCUGAAUGAACUUUUGGGCCAACCCAAUAAAAAGGCAACCUAGAAUACUUUUGAUUCCAGAUGUUAAGCUGGGCAUGUGAAAAUUAUUUUUUUCCACUGCAGCCCAAAUAUACUUCAAAAAUGAAAAGUUUCAAAGUGAGUCAUCGAUUAUAUUAAAGUCUUAUUUACAUAGCAUUUAUAUUUUAAAUACUGUGAUCAAAUACUGCCAAGAAGAAAUUAAUAUCACUUAAGAGUCAAGAUCUCUCAUGAAAAAAACCCUUAAACAAGAUUUAAAAUCAGAGUUAAUUCUAAGCUCAAGAUGGGUGGUCUCAAUGGAAUCGCUGUUGGGCAGUAGGUUAAGGCCUCUCUGCUGAGUACCACUUCUCACCAUGAAAGUCUGCAUAAAAUAUAUACACAAAAUUCUGCAUAAAAUCUCAGAGGGCUCUCUACAAUCCUCUCCAGCUGUGAGCAAAAUGUUAAAUUCCACUUAACACACACAUGUAUAUGUACGUGUCUAAGUUCCCCCUGCCCCAAACAAGCACUCCAUCCUGGGCUGGGGCUAUGGCUGGUGUUCUCACGCCCUCCAGCCAGCCAGCUCAGUAGCACAAUCUCUAUACAGAUUGAGACCCAAGGUGUAGAGCUAGCUAUGGCUUUUACCUCCUGGCUAUCUAGGUUCUAUUAUUAGGUGUGGGCUUCGCAGUAGCACCUACCCAGCUUGUGGUUGUUAGCUUCCUGCUAACCACACACAGGAGCUCAGUAGCUGUCCAGCUUUCAUGCACAUUCAGAUUCACAGGCUUGGUUCCAAGAUCUCAUUUUGACUGGCCCCAAAAGUCCUCUCCAUCUCUUUGUGAUACUGUCUCUUUCCUAAUGGCAACCCACUCCAGUACUCUUGCCUGGAAAAUCCCAGGGACAGAGAAGCCUGGUAGACUACAGUCCAUGGGAUCUCAGAGUUGGACAUGACUGAGCAACUUCUCUUUCAAACUACUUUUUAAGCAACCUUAUUAGGUAUUAAUAGGUGCAAAGGCAGCCAACAAAACAAUUGAAGAUUGUAAAAAUCUAUGGCAGAUACGUAUCCCAAACUCCAUUUAUUCUGAAACAAUAAGCUUGGACUGGGACACAGUAAUUUACUCUGUAUUCUCUUGCACCUUCCCAAAGAUCCUGUGGUCUUAUCACAAAGUUGCUACCCAUAAGUCUGAUUCAAUGUUCUUGCCCUCAGUUAAUGUGGCUGACUUUAAGAAUGCAAACUAGCAUCUCAGGAUCUAUUCACUGCAGCAGCAAACAGCUUUUAUGUAUGCUGUUUUAUUUUGGAUUCCUACAUUGGCAAACUUCUAAUUUUUAGGUUGGGCUUAUCUUGUAUUUGGAGAAGGAAAUGGCAGCCCAGUCCAGUAUUCUUGCCUGGAAAAUCCCAUGGAUCACGGAGCCUGGUAAGCUGCCAUCCAUGGGGUCGCAGAGUCGGACACGACUGAGCGACUUCACCUCACUCACUUCCACUGUCUUGUUAUUACUCUGAUGAAAAGGAUGAGAGUGUGUUAAAAAGAAGCUAGACAACUGCAUGGUACAAGUAUAUUCUUGAGCAGAUGAAUGUGGUCUUCACUCUAGUUCUUGGGCACACGUGGUGCCAAACAGGAGUGCACCGAAAUACAUUUGUUUGAUAUUAGUAGGCAUGCUUCCCACACUGGGACUUUUGAUCUAUUUUGAAGCAAGUAGGAUAAAAGCAUUUGCCAAAUGCGGAGAAAGCCCAAACAUGCAAACAAUACUUCUCUCCUACUCUUCGGCCCGCUGAAUACGUGCAAUUAUGGACACAGGGGUUUGUCCUAAAAAUCUCAUGGUGCAGAUAACCAGUAUCGCUAUCAGUAGGUUAACACGCAGGGAUGUUCCCAGGGUGAAGUGACGACGGGAAAAGGAUCUGUUCUAGUCAUCUGUCAACUGAAGUCAUGCUGAAAAUCAAUGGCUCCUUUUAGAUUAAUAGAGCUGUAUGGUGCAGCAAUUUAGGCAGGAUUUAAGUAGGUUUCCUACCAAUACAGAACUGUUAACAAAAUCAAGCUAGUCUCUGGGCUGUUCGGUACCAAGUAGCAUAGUGCAUUUUAGCUUUUGAAGUCCUUUUUGAUGCAUCCUAAAGUAAGUGUCUUAAAUGGUCUGAAGUAAACAGCCUGCUAACGACGAUUCAGAAGUAUUGAUUCAUCCCAGGAAGGCAAGGCACAGAGAGUCUGGUUGAUAUAAAAAGUUUGUUUCUCAAUUAUUUCAUAAGAAUGAUACAAUUCUGAGUAUGUAUUAUGUAUUAUUUUUCAAUGAAGUCUUUUAAAAAUACCAAUUGCUUUUUUUGCUAAGAGUACAUUUUGAGAGUUACUGUGAAUUUCGCCUAUUCUCUUUCUCACUGAACAAUCAUGUGUAUCAGAUCGUUAGUUUGCCACAGGAAAGCUCUGAAAUAAACUAAAAUGCCUAAUCAGCUAGCUCUGUGAGGUAUGUGCUGUGUGCAUGUAUACCAAGCAGUGUAUACCUGUCUGCCAGGGGAGUGGGAUAAACUUUUCAUGUAACACCAAACUUGAAAAAUAAAAAAAGGCACUCAAUAGCAUAAUUCCAUUAUGUGAAAUACACACAACAAAACUUUUUGUUUCCAUAUAAUUUAGAGUGUGGUCAGCAAAAUAUAAUCCCCUCUUAAAAAAUGAGUUUAAAUUAAGAUCAAUAAAAACAAUAAAAAAAUUAGUCCCAUAAUAACAUGGUUAACAACUCAAAUGGCUUUUUUUUUUAAUGCUAGGAAAAAUGUUCACCUUUCAAUGGUGACAGUACUGUUAACACAGGUAGAGAGCCAACAAGGUAAAAAGUGGAAGCACAUACAGACACACACAAAUAUAUAAAAUUUGACCAGAAAUCACAGGACAUUUAAGCAAUGUUUUCUUAAGUAGAACUACUUUUUUUUUUUUUGUACUUUAAAUAGACUAAAGUAUUUGGUGUGGGUGGAGGGAAGGAAAUCAGUAUUUCACAACUUUAACUUGAAAACCAGCUGAAAUAAAGCCUCAGCUCAUUGUUUAAUUUUUUAAAAACGGCACCACAUCAUACUUCUGACAAUCAUAGGAUUAAAGCUUACAAAGAACACAUCUACUGUCUACAUCACAGUGCACAGAGAGGAAGCAGUCUGCGGACUACCACAGGGAAACAAGAACAGAGUCUGCACCCUUCAUAUUGCAUCACAAAAUUAACGCCGUCUUGGAGGAACCUUGCCUCCCGUGGUCGGUGUCGUAGCUGGUAAGCACCUGAGGGCUAGGAGGCUAUCAGAACUGAGGGUGCUGCUCAGUGUGGAUCAGGACAUCGGUUCCUUGAUCUGCCAUUGGCGGAUGCAUUUAGUAACCACAAUAUGACAUUCACUGAGAAUAAACAUAAUAAUGCCACAUUCUGGCUUCUUGAGCAGGACAGUCUGGGGAAUGCAGUAGAAGGCUGUAUCCUUCCUCGAGAGAAAAAAUCCACGCUCCUCAGUUUUAUCAUGAGAAUUUAAAUUUCAGAUAUAAUAAUUUAACCCCAUAAAGACAUGAUCUGUACUUACAUAUACACACAGGUUCUGAAGAACUUCACUGUCUAGAUGCCUCUUCUGUUUCAUUCAACCACCGGGUAUCUUCCCUGGAUUACUGUUAGUCUCACUACCAAGAGCACAUUGGUGCCAUCAGCUAUUAUUUGCCAUAAAUCUCACAUUCCAUCUACAAUAAUAAGUGAUCAGAGGAUACGUGCCGUAUGGCAGUGGAACUUAAUUGAAACUAGUAUAAUGUUUAAGGUGAGGUUAAGUCACAAGAACAGCCAGGGCUAUCAGCUCCUCCUUGCUGUGUGGGCCUGGGCUUUCCUGGGUUUAGCUCUCACAAGUUUUGCAUCCAAGGGUCCCAGGCAUGAACCUCGGUCCCAGGCAUGCCAGCGCAGGUUGCCACCCUAAAGAGCACUCCUCACUCCUCCCUUAGGAUCAAUAGAGGAAAGGUAAGAAUCUUCAAGAGCAUAUAGGGCUACUUAUGAGGGAAUCAGCUCAAAAAUCUUUUUAGGACACCUGUUAAUUGCUAGUUCCUAGAAGUCCACAAAUAUCUUACUUUAAGAACAGGCUGAUCAAAUUUAAGCAAACUGGUGAGCAUGAAACAGUUCAUCCUUGAAGCCUGUUUUCACAUAAAUCCUCUAUAGGUUCUUCAGGUUUUGUCCAGUUAUAUAGUAUUUUACUGUAUCUUUUUGAGAUUUUUCAGAGCUAAAUGAAUAAUCCAGUUUUAUAUCUUUUCAUAUUUUUUUUUUAAUGUGAAAAUACUCUUUGCCAACUAUUUCCCACAUUCGGGCUUCAUAUGUUAACAAGAAGACUGCCAACUGGAGCCAUUUCCCUCAGAUUAUAAAGGCCCAGAAUUAUGUUACUUUUAACUGUGCUCUACCAGAAGGCCUGGCCUUGGGGAGAGACGGCAAAAAAAAUAUUCUCAGAUAUGCACAUUUUUAUUUUGCCUACAACGCUGUGAUCUAGCUCAACAACUGCACAACUACUUUCAUCUUAAUCUUUAUAGUUUUUCUUGUUUUGCUGCCUUGUAUUACAGAAAUGGUUAGUGUCACAGUUUCACUAUCAGUAAUAAAAAGAUAUAAAUAUUUAUGCCUUAAAGGCCCAGGGUCAAAACAGCAAAAAUGAAGCCUGAGGUAAAGCUGGUCUCAGAAAUGACCAUUCUGGGUUCUACAUUUUGCCAAAAAAAUAGGGUAUUUUUUAAAAAUGUAAAAUCCAUGCAUGUUACCUACAUGCUAUGUAUGAGAUAAUUCUUUCUCCUGAUUUAAUCUGUGUAUACACUAGUUACAUAAAACCGACAAAUGACUACAUUCUUAAUGCAGGUACAUACAUUCAUCAGGAAAGGACCCUAAUCUUUUUCACCAACAAUUUUUUUUGUUUGAACAAUCCAAGAAUGUGAAUAAAGAAAGUGACAUACAAGUUAUCAUCUUAGGAAUUACUGAGAAAGGAAAAUCUCUUUGGAAGAAAAAGACUUUAGGAAGACUCCUAUGCUGAGAACCAACUUUAUGCCACAGCGCUGUAAACGGCAGGACUUAAUACAGAACCAGAAACACAGCAAGUUACCUAGAGACUAACACCGAAAAACAGCCAAAAGCUUUAAAGCCACAGGGAGAAAAAAAACAGUCAAGUGUGAAAUGAAAAAUAUAUAAUAGUUAAGUAUUUUUACAAUUCUAAAACUUCACUUCUGUCCUUAAAUCAAUAUAUUAUGAAUUUCACGGUUCAAUAAAUAAGCAUCUUUAAUCAGAAGAGGAAGUAAAACCUUUCCCAGCAACCCCCCCCCACCCCCUCCAAUCUUGCAAAAGAGCAGACUGGAUAUUCUGGAGAGAGUAAGAGGGUUUUUUGUUUUGUUUUUUAAAAAGAGGGUAGAAGAAUAUAAUCAGGGGUGGGGGGAGAAAAAUCUAAAAGUCCUUUGUGUGGAGUUAAUGAAUACUCACUUCCUUCAUCAGCGGCAUUAUUCUUUCAAAGGGCCCUUACAUCUCAACCAACGGUGAAAAUCUGGGUCUAUUGUGGAUCUCAUGGCAGCAAACCAACAGACACUGAGGUUAACGCAGGCUAAUAAUACACGCUGGUCAGAUCCUCUGCAAAUCAGAAAUGACCCAGAGAAUCUUGGAAAAUUCAUCUCUGUUGAGCACAGCUAAGAAAGUCAUCUUUAGGCUAUCCUUAAUUACAGGAAAACUUGACUUGGUAGUGGUAUUUCCCAGGUUAUGUAAAGCAGCAGUCUUAUGCCAGGGGGAAAGAGCAGGGGCAGGGGGCACACAACCUAACAUUAUUAUUUAAAAAAAUUUUAUGUUAUCUGGUCAGCGCCUUUCACAGAGACCACUCAAGAGCUUUUUCGUGAUGUCAGUUUCAGUUCUGAUUCUUAGUUGUCAAGCUGCCUAAAAAAGGCGUACUAACAGAACCACCAAAUUAGGACCCUGGCAGAAUAAAAAAUUUACCCUGAUGGUCUAUCCAUGAAAGGAAGAUGUCUGCAAGCCAACUUAGGAAUCUUUUACUGAGAUCUAACAAAUAAAAUCAUUGAAUAUUGUUAAAAUGUGUGCAAACAACCCCUACUGUUAAGAUUUUUAUAUGAGUGUAUAUGUAUAUAUAAAUCCAUACAUACACAUUAUAUAAUUUAUUUCCUACGAAAAAGACUUAAGGCAGUUAUGCUAUAUAUAAAGUUAGCUAUAAUAUCCAAGAGAAAACAGUUCCUACCGAAAAAAUUAUGUGAACACAUCAGACAACUUAUCAUAAAAGCAAUCAUGAGACUAUCUGUAUCCAGUAUAGCUCACAUUUCCUGGUCGAGGCUCCCAACACAGGAAUUCCACUCCCAAGAUAAAAUUUGUCCCUUGAUCCCCACACACAAAAGGUAGUCUGAACAGACAAAAUAUUUAUAAAAACCUUGAAAUGGAAGAUAUUAAAAAGAACUCAACAGAAUUCUGACAACCUCUGGACACCACACUAUCGUUAUUACUCUUGAUUGUACUAAACACAACUCAAUAUGCUCCAAGAUGGAAGCUGGGAUGGUAUUAUGGGGAAAUUACUGGCUGCAACUGCUGGAAAACUUCAUAAUCCUAAACACGAUUUAAACAAAAUGUGAUGAUUCAUGCUAUCUGAUCGUCACACACAUACACACACACGUUUAACUGGGCAGAAUUUCUGAACCACUUAUAAGUGACGUAACUAAUCUGAACAUCAACCUUCGCGGUGAAAAAAGUUAGGACCCUGGGUAUGAACAGCACCAUCCUUUUUGGUCUUUAGUAAACUUCAAAGGAGAGAAACACUCUGAUGUAUGCAGAUAAAACAUGGCUGGAAAGGAAGGGGGCAACCAGCAAAACCACUACGGAUUCGUGCUGUCAAGAGAAGGAAGAAAGAAAUUCAGCUGAUGAAUAUAAAGGGCUCAGUAAAACAGAGUUCAUGAAGGAAAGAAAAUAGGCAGUUAUUUGUUAUGUCUAAACCUCAAUGUGUUGCACCAGAGUGAGAGACAAGAUCAUGGGUUGCUUAUGUCCACAGACUACUUAAUUAUCUAAAGAGAUACUGGGGUAAUGGUGGAGGGGCAGCAAUCUGUGAAUCAGAACCAUUCAGCUAUGAAAGUCAAGACUGUACAUAAAGACAGAUGUUAGGAACAGUGAGGAUUGUCUUACGUUAUAUUACAUCCCACCAUCAACCAGAUUAGGAAGGUGCUGAUUAUUGAACAAAUGCUCAAAGUAUUCAAUUAUUUUUUUAAAAAAGAUGUUAAAGAUAUAUCUGGACAGUGUUUGGAAGAGGUAGAGAAACCAACUGGGUACACAUACUCUUUUGUUUGAUUUGAACUAGAAAGAGACUAGACUGAUUGUUUUUCACCUUCAAAAUCUUAGUCUUGAUGAAACUGACAAUAAAGGCACAAAUAAAGUGAAAUUGAAAUAAUUUUAACAAAGAAGAAAAUCUGGCAAUGUCUAAAGAACAGAUGAAGUAAGCAAAAACCUUAAAUAUGAUUUAAGGUUUAAAAAAAACCUUAAGAUAUUAACAACUUGCAAGUAUAUACUCAGAAUACAGAAUAAGAAUACAGAACAAGAAUAUUUAGGUUUCAAGAAAAAUUAGGCAGGUUUUCUUCUGACAAAGUGACAGGUCCUGUGGGAGAAAGUAAUCCCACAAGACUAAGAGUCAGUACCAAAUCCCAGUCAUCUUACCACUCAACAUCUAUCACACUGGCUGGGUAAAGAACAGGCAUCAGUAAGUGUUCAUUGAAUGAAGGUAUAUCAUAACGUGCAAUUACACUUAGUUAGUAUGGUGUAGUUCAAACCCAGUCAGGAAAGUCAACCUUUUUUUAAGCAGUGAAACUUUUAAAAAAAGAAAUCUAUGUAGAACUCCAAUACAGAAUAAAAAUGAAGCUGCCACUGGCCAGCCAGGCCGAAGCCAGUGGGAAUAAACUAGCCUCCAAUUCCCUAAACCAGCCCUAAGAUGUAUGUAAUCCAGUGUGAAAACCACCAUUUAUUUUGAAAAUGUGAUAGAAGGCAUGAUCCUUCAGUUCUCAUGUUGUUAAACUGAGGACAUUACCAGCACUGUGUAGAAGAAAUUCUAAAUGAUGCUGCUAAUUUAAAUAAAAAAAAAAUUCUACAAAGAGGAGAUUGUAUCACUUAGAAAAAUGAAAACAAACCCUGUAAAGGAAAAAAAAGAAUCAGCAAAAAUCAGGCCACAGUGGACAAAAUAAAAAGCAAAACCAGCACCUCAUUAAAAAGCAAAUUAAGACCAUUGAACAUAUUCAUACAAAUGUAACCACCACCACCACCACCACCACCACCACCACCGACUCAACUGCUUGACUGGCCUACUACUGAAUACAAUAGGUGCUUCCAAAGAGCUGAGUCCCAGCUUCAUACUGUGUGUAAGAAUCCCACCAUAACUGCAGAGAUGUGACUCAUUACUGAAACGCUACAGACGGUACUGCUUUGCUUAACCUAUCAAUGCAAGAGUACCAGCCAGGACUUUCUACCAUUUUGAGUUGUUCUUUGACCCCAGACAAGGAGCAGUAUUCCCUAACAUCACACAACUUCUCAAGUACAAAGGACAGGGCCUCCACACUUUCAACACGUCUGACGGUGGUGAUGCCUGGGACUUUUAUACCAUCCACAAGGCGGGCUGUACAAGUAGUAAUCAGUGGGCAGCAGGACGCCUGGAAGCAAGCAGCCAGUUGCUACAGUCGUGAAAAUUUGCCCAAGGCAGAAUUAAAGAGAGGGUUGCUCCAUUAAAUGGCAGUGACCUGGUGCAAACUUUUUAUAGUAAGGACUUGAGGAAGAGGAAAUACUAACAAGAAUGACACAUGAAGCAGUCCAUUACAAAAUAAGGCCACCUUCAACUAUUAUAAAGUAGAACCAAUCUGAUCCUCAAGUUUGGAUCUGUGAAGAGGUUUUUGUAUAAAGCAUAAACACCUAAUAAAUGAUGAGUUUCCUUUAAAAUAUGCCUUUGCAUUUGAUGCCAUUUUCUUUGCCAAGAAUGCCUAUUUUUCCCGGGCUCUCCACAUGGCUUGCUCCUUUCUCACAUGUUAGCUCAAUCAUCACUACUUUACACAAGCUUUCCCUCUGCUUUGCUCUAUCACAGUACCCUGCUUAUCUCCUUCAUAGACAAACAUGCUAAUUAAGUGUUAGAGUAACUGCUAUCUCGGCAAAGGCAAGGGCCAUAGCUGUCUUGUUCACCUUUACCCAAAGGCUAAGAAAGUUCCUGGCACACGUAACAGGUGAACAAUAAAUAUCUGAAGAACGAAAAAUCACUCUACCACGUUCACAUGAACAUAUACAUGCAUACACAAACACAGGAAAACGGGGAACAUCCGACAGAAAACAAUCAAAUGCGGAAAGUACUGAAAACAACCCCUGUACAUACAGGUGAAUAUGGUUAUAAAACACAAGUACCAACCAAAGAUAAUCUGUCUUUAAAAAUAUGAAAACCUACUAGAAAGGGACCAGGAGUGGUUACUGGCUGUUUCUACUGAGAUGCAAACAAGAAAAGUUUAAACUGGAAUGAGUUAAUAAACUAAGUAAAAUAAGGAUUAUCUGCUGUAGAAUGACUUCCAACAGAGCUUUUGACACCUCUGGUCACGCCUGUCCCUGCAGAGCAUGAAGUAUGGAGGCUUCACCACAUAUUCAGGAUUAGUUAAGAACAGCUCAGACCACAGGUAUCCAUGAGAUAAAAAACUUGCUAAACGGCUUCUCCCCCAAAUUUUACAAUUCAGAAUUCACAAUUAUGUAAAAUAACACAGAUUCUAUAAAUUUAAUACAACAUACCUUAAAAGCAGAUGGCCCCUAUCUGCUGAUCAGACCUCAGCACUGCUUUUCUAGGUAUUCUGCAGAAGCAAUUACAUUUACAAAAGGUCCACUUCAUAACACAAUCUGGUAAUUAAAUCCAAUGAAAUUCAACUCAAAAGAGGUUUGCUACUGAAAUAUUUGAAAGUAUCUUUUAAAAAGGGGGUUUAUAUUUUUAGACUGAAUUUUCAGAAAGGAUAAAUAUAUUGAAAUAACUGCAGUAUAUCCCUGAAAAUAAUUAUACUGCCACCUGUGCACUUUUUAUGAGGUGUAAAGAUAAAUCAAAAGACUGCCAGGUUAUACAAGCCUCUUAGUAACUGUUGAAACUGAAAUUUGGUGUAAGACAAAAGGGACUUACUCCAUGUGAAUUAUCACUGUACCCAGAAUUAACUGGUGCUGGCAGUAUCAGUACAACCACUGAUGGUGAUGGAUGUCAUGCUACACUGUUUUGAUGGAAAAGUAGAAAUGGAGGAGAGGUUUAGAAAGAUUUCCAUAAAGUUUCCUUAUAAUGAGAUUUAGCAGUAAGUAAACAAACACAGAAAGAAUGAAUAUUUAAGACCCACUGAACACAUUAAGGUCAAGGAUUUCAAAAGUUAAUCCACUUUUCUUCCCCCAAGAGUUUAUUUUUGGUAAAAGGCAGAAAAAUUAGUUUUUCUACAAGGGAAAUCUGCUUCUAAAUGAUAAUUUGAAAAUCUUGAUAUAUAUUAUAUAUUAAAAAAGACACACAAAAAUAACAAAAAGUGGGAAUAACAGAUUAGGUACUGUAACUUUAUAAAGGCUUGCCUAAAU